GAGCUCAGGGAGGUGGUCCGGGUGCUCACGGGGGAUCUUGUUGGGGCAGCAAGGUAGGUGCAGGAGCUCAAUGCCACGCGUGGGAAGCUUGUGGAACUGCAGCAGAAGCUUACUGUCAUCCUCUACGUCAGCCAGGCGCUUGCUGCGCUCAAGUUGCUUGUUGUAGCAGCAGAUUGUGCUGGUGCCCUUGAUGUCAUCGAUGAUUUGCAAAAUUUACUAGAUACUGAUGAACUUGCUGGGCUUUACUGCUUUCGCCAUAUUCGAGAUCAGCUGGGAACGUCACUAGAUUCAGUGAACAGGGUAACAUAGAUGAGGAAGGAAGUUUUACUCUCAGAGAUCGUCUCCUCCCCCUCAUUAUUUGCCUGCUGAGAACGGACAAACUUCCUGUGUUUCUCAGAAUCUACCGGGAUACACUUAUUACUGUUAUGAAAUCUUCAAUCAAGGCCACAGUUGCAGAGUUGCUUCCAGUUUUAACUGCCAGACCAAUAGAUUCUGAUUCAGUAACUGGAGACAGGGCUGCUGAUGCUGACGCUGGAGGCCAGUCCUUAGCAAAUAAGUUGCGAAGUCUGUCAUCUGAAGGGUUUGUUCAACUUUUGUCCGCCAUUUUUAGGAUAGUACAGGUACAUUUACAGCAAGCAGCUGAAGUGAAAAGAAUAGUUGAGUGGAUCAUGGGGAACCUUGAUGGAACCUUAAGUGUUGAUGCUAGCAAUCCUACAGCACAACAUGGUGGUUAAGGUGUUUCUGCUAUUUCCCAAGAGAAUGGCUACAAUGUUUCUUCACGGAUCUCUAGUACUCUUACACGGAGUACUUCCAAAGUCCUAUUUGUCCAAGGAAAAGCAAAUGAUUUGUCCAUCAUAAAUUCAAUAAAGAAUGUCCGGUAAGUUUUUCUUA